GUGAAUCAUCGAAUCUUUGAACGCAAAUUGCACUCCCUGGUAUUCCGGGGAGUAUGCCUGUUUGAGGGUCGUUAGAAUAAAAAAUCGAUGCGUCGCUCUUUUUUUUAAGGGUGAUCGCGUCGGAAUUGAGCCGCCUUUCAAAUGUUAAUUCAUGUCAAAGGGGCUGCAAUUUAUUCAGUCAGGUCCAAUUAAGGC
rnacentral:misc_RNA from 1 species